UGCAAGUCGGACGGGAUCCAUUGAUAGCUUGCUAUCAAUGGUGAGAGUGGCGCACGGGUGCGUAACGCGUGAGCAACCUACCUCCAUCAGGGGGAUAGCCUCUCGAAAGAGAGAUUAACACCGCAUAAUAUCAACAGUUCGCAUGUUCAGUUGAUUAAAUAUUUAUAGGAUGGAGAUGGGCUCGCGUGACAUUAGCUAGUUGGUAGGGUAACGGCUUACCAAGGCGACGAUGUCUAGGGGCUCUGAGAGGAGAAUCCCCCACACUGGUACUGAGACACGGACCAGACUCCUACGGGAGGCAGCAGUAAGGAAUAUUGGUCAAUGGGCGGAAGCCUGAACCAGCCAUGCCGCGUGCAGGAUGACUGCCCUAUGGGUUGUAAACUGCUUUUGUCCAGGAAUAAACCUMMWUACGAGUAKKKAGCUGAAUGUACUGGAAGAAUAAGGAUCGGCUAACUCCGUGCCAGCAGCCGCGGUAAUACGGAGGAUCCGAGCGUUAUCCGGAUUUAUUGGGUUUAAAGGGUGCGUAGGCGGCCUGUUAAGUCAGGGGUGAAAUACGGUGGCUCAACCAUCGCAGUGCCUUUGAUACUGAUGGGCUUGAAUCCAUUUGAAGUGGGCGGAAUAAGACAAGUAGCGGUGAAAUGCAUAGAUAUGUCUUAGAACUCCGAUUGCGAAGGCAGCUCACUAAGCUGGUAUUGACGCUGAUGCACGAAAGCGUGGGGAUCGAACAGGAUUAGAUACCCUGGUAGUCCACGCCCUAAACGAUGAUAACUCGAUGUUGGCGAUAGACAGCCAGCGUCUUAGCGAAAGCGUUAAGUUAUCCACCUGGGGAGUACGCCCGCAAGGGUGAAACUCAAAGGAAUUGACGGGGGCCCGCACAAGCGGAGGAGCAUGUGGUUUAAUUCGAUGAUACGCGAGGAACCUUACCCGGGCUUGAAAGUUAGUGAAGGUAGCAGAGACGCUACCGUCCUUCGGGACACGAAACUAGGUGCUGCAUGGCUGUCGUCAGCUCGUGCC
rnacentral:rRNA from 1 species